AGAGUUUGAUCAUGGCUCAGAACGAACGCUGGCGGCAGGCUUAACACAUGCAAGUCGAGCGAAGACUUCGGUCUUAGCGGCGGACGGGUGAGUAACGCGUGGGAACAUACCCUUUGCUACGGAACAGUCCCGGGAAACUGGGUUUAAUACCGUAUACGCCCUUCGGGGGAAAGAUUUAUCGGCAAAGGAUUGGCCCGCGUUGGAUUAGGUAGUUGGUGGGGUAAAGGCCUACCAAGCCGACGAUCCAUAGCUGGUUUGAGAGGAUGAUCAGCCACACUGGGAC
rnacentral:rRNA from 1 species